UGGGGAAUCUUGCACAAUGGGCGAAAGCCUGAUGCAGCGACGCCGCGUGCGGGAUGAAGGCCUUCGGGUUGUAAACCGCUUUCAGCAGGGACGAGGCCGCAAGGUGACGGUACCUGCAGAAGAAGCCCCGGCUAACUACGUGCCAGCAGCCGCGGUAAUACGUAGGGGGCAAGCGUUAUCCGGAUUCAUUGGGCGUAAAGCGCGCGUAGGCGGUCUGUUAGGUCAGGAGUUAAAUCUGGGGGCUCAACCCCUAUCCGCUCCUGAUACCGGCAGGCUUGAGUCUGGUAGGGGAAGAUGGAAUUCCAAGUGUAGCGGUGAAAUGCGCAGCUAUUUGGAAGAACACCGGUGGCGAAGGCGGUCUUCUGGGCCAUGACUGACGCUGAGGCGCGAAAGCUAGGGGAGCGAACAGG
rnacentral:rRNA from 1 species